CAGAACCCUGGUUUCUGGACCCGAAAGCAUCUAGUCCCAAAGACCUCUUUGGAUUAUCAACUGAAAACUUGCGGAAACUGAAACAGAGACCUGAAAACUGGCGCUGCUGGAAAACAGGAACACUGUAGCUGCCGGAAAAGCACUGUAGCUGCCGAAAAAUUCAAUGUUGUCGGAAUUGAAAAAUAAAAAUAUGGAUAGGCUCGGAACUCAAGGUUGAGCAAAACUGUCCUGAAGAAAUUCUGGCUGGAAAGUACUGUAGCUGCCGGAAAAGUCAAUAAAGUCGCCGGAAAAAAACUGAAAGUUGUCGGAAUCGAACGGAAAAAGUAUGGGUAGGGUCGGAAUUGAUAGCCGACCAAUCUGUCCUGAAGAAACAAACUGAAAAAGUGGCCGGAACUGCCCUCACGCGCCGGCGCGUGGGCUUCACGCGCCGAGGGUUCUG
rnacentral:lncRNA from 1 species